AUGGGGACAGGUCAUGGACAUGGGAACAGCUCCUGGAACACCUGUGGAGACAGGGACAUGGGGACAGGUCAUGGACAUGGGAACAGCUCCUGGAACACCUGCGGGGAAACAGGGAUAUGGGGACAGCUCCUGGGACACCUGCGGGGAGAGACGGACAUGGGGACAGGUCAUGGACAUGGGAACAGCUCCUGGGACACCUGUGGAGACAGGGACAUGGGAACAGGUCAUGGACGUGGGAACAGCUCCUGGGACACCUGCGGGGAGAGACGGACAUGGGGACAGGUCAUGGACAUGGGAACAGCUCCUGGACAUGGGAACAGCUCCUGGAACACCUGCGGGGAGACAGGGACAUGGGGACAGCUCCUGGACAUGGGAACAGCUCCUGGACAUGCGAACAGCUCCUGGAACACCUGUGGGGAGAGACGGACAUGGGGACAGGUCCUGGGAGAGACAGACAUGGGAACAGCUCCUGGACAUGGGAACAGCUCCUGGAACACCUGUGGGGAGAGACAGGGAUAUGGGAACAGCUCCUGGGACACCUGCGGGGACAGGGGAGACAGGGAUAUGGGAACAGCUCCUAGACACGGGAACAGCUCCUGCAACACCCGUGGGGACAGGGGAGACACACAUGGGAACAGCUCCUGGGAGAGACAGGGAGAU